AACGAACGCUGGCGGCAGGCUUAACACAUGCAAGUCGAGCGCCCCGCAAGGGGAGCGGCAGACGGGUGAGUAACGCGUGGGAACGUACCCUUUGCUACGGAAUAGCUCCGGGAAACUGGAAUUAAUACCGUAUGUGCCCUACGGGGGAAAGAUUUAUCGGCAAAGGAUCGGCCCGCGUUGGAUUAGCUAGUUGGUGGGGUAAUGGCCUACCAAGGCGACGAUCCAUAGCUGGUCUGAGAGGAUGAACAGCCACAUUGGGACUGAGACACGGCCCAAACUCCUACGGGAGGCAGCAGUGGGGAAUAUUGGACAAUGGGCGCAAGCCUGAUCCAGCCAUGCCGCGUGAGUGAUGAAGGCCUUAGGGUUGUAAAGCUCUUUCACCGGAGAAGAUAAUGACGGUAUCCGGAGAAGGAGCCCCGGCUAACUUCGUGCCAGCCGCCGCCGUAAGAC
rnacentral:rRNA from 1 species